AGCAGCCGCGGUAAUUCCAGCUCCAAUAGCGUAUAUUAAAGUUGUUGCAGUUAAAAAGCUCGUAGUUGAAUUUCGGGAUCAAUACGUCGGUCGUGCUUCGGUACGUACUGGCGUAAUUGAUUUCUCCCUUCUGACGAACCAUGAUGUCAUUAACUUGGUGUCAUGGGAAAUCAGGACUGUUACUUUGAAAAAAUUAGAGUGUUUAAAGCAGGCUCACGCUUGAAUACAUUAGCAUGGAAUAAUGAAAUAGGACGUUCGAUCCUAUUUUGUGGUUUUUAGGAUCAACGUAAUGAUUAAUAGGGAUAGUUGGGGGCAUUAGUAUUCAAUUGUCAGAGGUGAAAUUCUUGGAUUUAUUGAAGACUAACUACUGCGAAAGCAUUUGCCAAGGAUGUUUUCAUUAAUCAAGAACGAAAGUUAGGGGAUCGAAGACGAUCAGAUACCGUCGUAGUC
rnacentral:rRNA from 1 species